UACGAAGGGGGCUAGCGUUGCUCGGAAUCACUGGGCGUAAAGCGCACGUAGGCGGAUUGUUAAGUCAGGGGUGAAAUCCUGGAGCUCAACUCCAGAACUGCCUUUGAUACUGGCGAUCUUGAGUCCGGGAGAGGGUGAGUGGAAACUGCGAGUGUAGAGGUGAAAUUCGUAGAUAUUCGCAAGAACACCAGUGGCGAAGGCGGCUCACUGGCCCGGUAC
rnacentral:rRNA from 1 species